AACGAACGCUGGCGGCAGGCCUAACACAUGCAAGUCGAACGCUGCAGCAAUGCAGAGUGGCAGACGGGUGAGUAACGCGUGGGAACCUUCCCAAUGGUACGGAAUAGCCCAGGGAAACUUGGGGUAAUACCGUAUAAGCCCCAUGGGGGAAAGAUUUAUCGCCAUUGGAUGGGCCCGCGUCGGAUUAGCUAGUUGGGGAGGUAACGGCUCACCAAGGCGACGAUCCGUAGCUGGUUUGAGAGAAUGACCAGCCACACUGGGACUGAGACACGGCCCAGACUCCAACGGGGGGAAGAAGGGGGGAAUCUUGGACAAUGGGCGAAAGCCUGAUCCAGCCAUGCCGGGUGAGUGACGAAGGCCUUAGGGUUGUAAAGCUCUUUUGGCGGGGACGAUAAUGACGGUACCCGCAGAAUAAGUCCCGGCUAACUUCGGGCCAGCAGCCGCGGUAA
rnacentral:rRNA from 1 species